CAUGCAGUCGAGCGGAAGGCCCUUCGGGGUACUCGAGCGGCGAACGGGUGAGUAACACGUGAGUAACCUGCCCUGGACUUUGGGAUAACCCUCGGAAACGGGGGCUAAUACCGGAUACCUCCUUCUGAUCGCAUGGUUGGUUGGGGAAAGUUUUUCGGUCUGGGAUGGGCUCGCGGCCUAUCAGCUUGUUGGUGGGGUGAUGGCCUACCAAGGCGACGACGGGUAGCCGGCCUGAGAGGGCGACCGGCCACACUGGGACUGAGACACGGCCCAGACUCCUACGGGAGGCAGCAGUGGGGAAUAUUGCACAAUGGGCGGAAGCCUGAUGCAGCGACGCCGCGUGAGGGAUGACGGCCUUCGGGUUGUAAACCUCUUUCAGCAGGGACGAAGCGAGAGUGACGGUACCUGCAGAAGAAGCGCCGGCCAACUACGUGCCAGCAGCCGCGGUAAGACGUAGGGCGCGAGCGUUGUCCGGAUUUAUUGGGCGUAAAGAGCUCGUAGGCGGCUUGUCGCGUCGGCUGUGAAAUCCCGUGGCUCAACUGCGGGCUUGCAGCCGAUACGGGCAGGCUAGAGUUCGGUAGGGGAGACUGGAAUUCCUGGUGUAGCGGUGAAAUGCGCAGAUAUCAGGAGGAACACCGGUGGCGAAGGCGGUCUUCUGGUCCGAUACUGACGCUGAGAGCGUAAGC
rnacentral:rRNA from 1 species